rnacentral:misc_RNA from 1 species
CGUCAGACACCUCACUCUUAAGAAAUUGUUGACUUUCAUUGCUCCAUAUUUUCCCAACCAUUGAAAUUGAAGGGUAAAGUUGAAGGUUUGAAUUCCAAGUGAUUAUC